rnacentral:rRNA from 1 species
GGGGAAUAUUGCGCAAUGGGGGCAACCCUGACGCAGCCAUGCCGCGUGAAUGAAGAAGGCCUUCGGGUUGUAAAGUUCUUUCGGUAGCGAGGAAGGCACUUAGUUUAAUAAACUAAGUGAUUGACGUUAACUACAGAAGAAGCACCGGCUAACUCCGUGCCAGCAGCCGCGGUAAUACGGAGGGUGCGAGCGUUAAUCGGAAUAACUGGGCGUAAAGGGCACGCAGGCGGUGACUUAAGUGAGGUGUGAAAGCCCCGGGCUUAACCUGGGAAUUGCAUUUCAUACUGGGUCGCUAGAGUACUUUAGGGAGGGGUAGAAUUCCACGUGUAGCGGUGAAAUGCGUGGAGAUGUGGAGGAAUACCGAAGGCGAAGGCAGCCCCUUGGGAAUGUACUGACGCUCAUGUGCGAAAGCGUGGGGAGCAAACAGGAUUAGAUACCCUGGUAGUCCACGCUGUAAACGAUGUCGAUUUGGGGGUUGAGCUUUAAGUUUGGCGCCCGUAGCUAACGUGAUAAAUCGACCGCCUGGGGAGUACGGCCGCAAGGUUA